rnacentral:rRNA from 1 species
CGUAUACAACUUGCCUCUAACAGGAGAAUAGCCCGAAGAAAUUCGGAUUAAUGCUCCAUAGCACAUUGCUUUCGCAUGUUAGCAAUGUUAAAGCUCCGGCGGUUAGAGAUGGGUAUGCGUCCUAUUAGCUAGUUGGUGAGGUAACGGCUCACCAAGGCGACGAUAGGUAGGGGGCCUGAGAGGGUAAUCCCCCACACUGGUACUGAGACACGGACCAGACUCCUACGGGAGGCAGCAGUGAGGAAUAUUGGUCAAUGGACGAAAGUCUGAACCAGCCAUGCCGCGUGCAGGAUGACGGCCCUCUGGGUUGUAAACUGCUUUUGUUUAGGAAUAAACCCCCGGACGUGUCCGGGGCUGAAUGUACUAUUCGAAUAAGGAUCGGCUAACUCCGUGCCAGCAGCCGCGGUAAUACGGAGGAUCCAAGCGUUAUCCGGAUUCAUUGGGUUUAAAGGGUGCGUAGGCGGAUUAAUAAGUCAGUGGUGAAAUCUCUCGGCUCAACCGAGAAACUGCCAUUGAUACUGUUAGUCUUGAGUGUACUUGAAGUG